CCUACGGGAGGCUGCAGUGGGGAAUAUUGCACAAUGGAGGAAACUCUGAUGCAGCGACGCCGCGUGAACGAUGAAGGCUUUCGGGUCGUAAAGUUCUGUCCUAGGGGACGAUAAUGACGGUACCCUAGGAGGAAGCCCCGGCUAACUACGUGCCAGCAGCCGCGGUAAUACGUAGGGGGCAAGCGUUGUCCGGAUUUAUUGGGCGUAAAGGGUUCGCAGGUGGUCCUUUAAGUCAGAUGUGAAAGAUCACAGCUCAACUGUGGUAAGCAUUUGAAACUGAAGGACUUGAGUUAAGGAGAGGAAAGUGGAAUUCCUAGUGUAGCGGUGAAAUGCGUAGAUAUUAGGAGGAAUACCAGUGGCGAAGGCGACUUUCUGGACUUAUACUGACACUGAGGAACGAAAGCGUGGGGAGCAAACAGGAUUAGAUACCCGAGUAGUC
rnacentral:rRNA from 1 species